CCUACGGGAGGCUGCAGUGAGGAAUAUUGGUCAAUGGGCGCAAGCCUGAACCAGCCAAGUCGCGUGAGGGAUGACGGUCCUAUGGAUUGUAAACCUCUUUUGUCGGGGAGCAAGGCCCGCCACGUGUGGCGGGAAGGAGAGUACCCGAAGAAAAAGCAUCGGCUAACUCCGUGCCAGCAGCCGCGGUAAUACGGAGGAUGCGAGCGUUAUCCGGAUUUAUUGGGUUUAAAGGGUGCGUAGGCGGAAGGUUAAGUCAGCGGUAAAAUGUCGGUGCUCAACACCGGCCUGCCGUUGAAACUGGUCUUCUUGAGUGAGCGAGAAGUAGGCGGAAUGCGUGGUGUAGCGGUGAAAUGCAUAGAGAUCACGCAGAACUCCGAUUGCGAAGGCAGCAUACCGGCGCUCAACUGACGCUGAGGCACGAAAGCGUGGGGAUCGAACAGGAUUAGAUACCCCAGUAGUC
rnacentral:rRNA from 1 species